UACAUGGGGUGCAAACGUUGCUCGGAAUUAUUGGGCGUAAAGCGCACGUAGGCGGUUCGUUAAGUCGGAUGUGAAAGCCCUCGGCUCAACUGAGGAAGUGCACCCGAAACUGGCGAGCUUGAGUACGAAAGAGGAUCGCGGAAUUCCCGGUGUAGAGGUGAAAUUCGUAGAUAUCGGGGAGGAACACCGGUGGCGAAGGCGGCGAUCUGGGUCGAUACUGACGCUGAGGUGCGAAAGCGUGGGGGAGCGAACAGG
rnacentral:rRNA from 1 species